ACCUCUAGCAACGCCGUCGUUACCUUGCAGCGGUAUAGAGAGUUUCCGACAACAAAGGAGAGGAACCUCUGCAUCUGCUACCAUGUUUCUGGCAACAGCGACGGUGUCGGCUGCAUUUGUGACGGCGUGACCUAGGGUUCUGACCCAGAUGCUGCUCAUGUAGAAGAAUGUUGUACUUGUAGGUGUGGCCAUGUUCAAGAACCUUUUGUGUUCGAGUACAGUCAUGAUUGUGAAGAUUGUUAUUCGCUUUGCUCAUGAGCAUGUUUUUAGUUUAGCCGUAUAUUAAAAGAAAGCAACUUGCACAACGGUGUUAUUAUGGGUGUUAUUAAGAAGGAAGCAACUUCAAGAUGUCAUCAGUUGUAGGUUUAGAAGAAUAUGUUUGUUGUCUUGAUGUACAUUGUUGUCAAAGCCUGUUGGCAUGUUUUUUCUUCAAGGAUUUGAAUUUUUUUU